GAGAGACAAGAUGAAGAGAGUGCUCAUAGUUACCAGAUUCGCCUUUUCCCCCUAGAUUCUGUGAUCCAAAUCGUGCGUUCCAAAUCAUGGGAUGCGAUCUGGAUCACCAAAUGUGGUGAACCCAUUCACUCAGUAGACUCAACACACAAUGAAAGCCUCAACAUAAAAUCAAAGGGGAAAAUGGAAGUAAGGAGAAGAAGAUAUUAAGAAUUUGAAGAUUUACAAUUCAAAGUUUCAAACAGUUAACUCUUCCAUUUUUCUUCUCCGGAUGGGCUUAAAUUUUUCAUGGGUGCUCACGUUUCUACAGUUGCUACGAGCUGAAAGUUGAAACAUAACUAAAUGAGUUGAAAGUUGAAACAGAAUUUGAAACAAAACUGAAAUGAAGAAGAUGGAAAGCAAAGA
rnacentral:misc_RNA from 1 species